UACGGAGGGGGCUAGCGUUGUUCGGAAUUACUGGGCGUAAAGCGCACGUAGGCGGCUCGUUAAGUCGGGUGUGAAAUCCCUCGGCUCAACCGAGGAAGUGCAUUCGAAACUGGCGAGCUUGAAUAUGGAAGAGGGUCGCGGAAUUCCCGGUGUAGAGGUGAAAUUCGUAGAUAUCGGGAGGAACACCAGUGGCGAAGGCGGCGACCUGGGCCAAUAUUGACGCUGAGGUGCGAAAGCGUGGGGAGCAAACAGG
rnacentral:rRNA from 1 species